CAACGACUCUCGGCAACGGAUAUCUCGGCUCACGCGAUGAGAACGUAGCAAAUGCGAUACUUGGUGUGAAUUGCAGAAUCCCGUGAACCAUCGAGUUUUUGAACGCAAGUUGCGCCCGAAGCCUUUUGGUCGAGGGCACGUCUGCCUGGGYGUCACAC
rnacentral:rRNA from 1 species